AGAGUUUGAUCCUGGCUCAGGAUGAACGCUAGCGGCAGGCCUAACACAUGCAAGUCGAGGGGCAGCACGUUAAAGAGUUUACUCUUUAUGGUGGCGACCGGCGGACGGGUGCGUAACGCGUAUGCAACCUGCCUGACACAGGGGGAUAAUCCGAAGAAAUUUGGUCUAAUACCCCAUAAUACCGAUAUAGGCAUCUAUGUUGGUUGAAAGCUUUGGUGGUGUCAGAUGGGCAUGCGUUGUAUUAGCUAGUUGGUGAGGUAACGGCUCACCAAGGCGACGAUACAUAGGGGGACUGAGAGGUUAACCCCCCACACUGGUACUGAGACACGGACCAGACUCCUACGGGAGGCAGCAGUGAGGAAUAUUGGUCAAUGGACGCAAGUCUGAACCAGCCAUGCCGCGUGCAGGAUGACGGCUCUAUGAGUUGUAAACUGCUUUUGUACUAGGGUAAACUCACCUACGUGUAGGUGACUGAAAGUAUAGUACGAAUAAGGAUCGGCUAACUCCGUGCCAGCAGCCGCGGUAAUACGGAGGAUUCAAGCGUUAUCCGGAUUUAUUGGGUUUAAAGGGUGCGUAGGCGGUUUGAUAAGUUAGAGGUGAAAUGUUAGGGCUCAACCCUGAAACUGCCUCUAAUACUGUUGGACUAGAGAGUAGUUGCGGUAGGCGGAAUGUAUGGUGUAGCGGUGAAAUGCUUAGAGAUCAUACAGAACACCGAUUGCGAAGGCAGCUUACCAAACUAUAUCUGACGUUGAGGCACGAAAGCGUGGGGAGCAAACAGGAUUAGAUACCCUGGUAGUCCACGCAGUAAACGAUGAUAACUCGUUGUCGGCGAUACACAGUCGGUGACUAAGCGAAAGCGAUAAGUUAUCCACCUGGGGAGUACGUUCGCAAGAAUGAAACUCAAAGGAAUUGACGGGGGCCCGCACAAGCGGAGGAACAUGUGGUUUAAUUCGAUGAUACGCGAGGA
rnacentral:rRNA from 1 species